GAUGAACGCUGGCGGCGUGCCUAAUACAUGCAAGUCGAACGAACAGAUGAGGAGCUUGCUCCUCUGACGUUAGCGGCGGAGGGGUGAGUCACAUGUGGAUAAUCUCCCUAUAAGACUGGGAUAACUACGGGAAACCGGCGCAUAUCCCGGAUAAUCUCUUGCACCGCAUGGUUCAAUAGUGAAAGACGGUUUUGCUGUAUCUUAUCGCUGGAUCCGCGCCGCAUGAGCUAGUUGGUAAGGUAACAGCUUACCAAGGCAACGAGGCGUAGCCGACCUGAGAGGGUGGUCGCCCACACGGGAACUGAGACACGGACCAUACGCCUGCGGGAGGCAGCAGUAUGGAAUCGGACGCAAUAGGCGAGAGCCUUACAGAGCAACGCGGCGUGAGUGAUGGAGGUCUUCGGAGCGGGAAGCCCUGUUAUUAGUUGAGAACAAAUGUGUAAGUAGCCAUGCACUUAUUGACGGUACCUAGUCAGAAAGCCACGGCUAACUACGUG
rnacentral:rRNA from 1 species